rnacentral:lncRNA from 1 species
AGGGAUGGGAUUGCUAACAUAAGUCAGUCACUCUCUGUGUCCGAUAGCGAGCAGAUCUAUCGUGGACGCGCGCUCACAAUAUCUCCCAGAAUUAUCAGUAUUUGUGCUAUUUUUACUGCAAAAUGACGUACAAAACGAAGAUGAAGAAAACUCUGAAAGCUAAAAGCAUGCUAGCUGCCCGUAGAAGGUGCGAGCUGGCUAGAAUCCAUGGAUUACGCACUUUGAGAGUGAAGAUCGUGGAGGCCUCUCAGCCGCGAGUGUGAGGAACCAGCCCGCUACCCCCCCCACCACAAUCCCACCCUCUGCCACCGCACAUUCUCCACCUUCUACUCCAGGGACUGGUACUUGAAGAAAAAGGACAAGGAUAUGCAGAAACCAACGAGACCCACAACCAAACCAAGAAAGGCCCCUGAGGGAGCUGACCCCGGCUAUGGCGCAGGUGCCUACUAGUGCCACUCCAGUGCCACCUUGAGGACCCAUAUUUCUGACCAAUUAUAUUAGGCGAUCUGCAUGGAACUUGCACACCUUACUGAACCCAUGCCUAUCUACAAGGGUGCAAAUUUUGAAUGAUAUCGGUCAACAUCAACCUCAGCUAAAGGUGGCUGAACUUUAACCUCCGUUUGUGCAGGCUGCGAUGCUGAAACUUGGCCCAGUUGCAGCACCUUUCACAUGUAUCAGGAUAAUAAAUUUUCAAUGCCCUACAACAACUUUCAAUUUCCAUCUAGAUGCCCC